CUAUAACGUGAAGACUAUGCGCCGUAGAUCCGGGUUUUUCACGCAUAAUUCUUCACGUAAUACUACAUAAACUGGUUAAACUUUAAGGCUUUUACUCUAAUACAAGUAGGUCCUACAAUCCUGGCGACAGACUGAUUUAACGUACCGUAGGCCUAUAAUGGAGGAAAUACAGGAACAAAUUGUGCCUACACUGUUGCGGUUGCCAAGUGUGUUUAUACUUGUAUUCACGUACCACAAACAGGAGAUACGAGAGUUCCUGAAAGACAACGAAUUCGUCCAAAUCGAAUUGGUGAACAAUCUGGAUUUAUCAGUUGACUUUCUUUUCUCUUGCAUGCAGUAUAUUGGUUUCCUGGUUGCCAUUGUACUAAUCACUCUCCCAUUUCACAACUUGAAGUCUCUCUACAUCCACAUAAUAACCUUUGUCUUGCUGAUUAUAUCUCAUUGGUUGUCAAAAGAUUACCGUACAUCACCAGUUGUCAAGAGUCUGAUGUCGUAUCUUUGCAAAGACAGAUUGAUUUUAUUGUGAAGCAAUUUGUCCUGGUUUGGACCUGUACUUCGCUGAUGAGUAGAGUAACUGACUUUUACUGGAUAUGUAAAGCAUUUAUUGUUCCGAUAAUUUUUCCUACGUUUGGCUUGGAGCCGAAAAAAGCAGAAGAACUACAUGCCUCAUGGUGGUUUACCACGUUGAUUAUUGGAAGUUAUCUGGCAUUUACUGUUUUUCUAUUGCUUUUAAGAUUGCUUUUAUGGCUUUUAGAAUUAGCUGAACAGAUUAUAGAGUCCUUGGAUCGUGCGUUCCGGCAAGUCGAGCGAGCCAUGCAACAGUGGUGGUGCAAGAAAUUUCCCGACAAGGGGUCUGACAAGUCCGACGAAGAAGUCCAAACCAAGGGCCCAACCAGGGGCGGAUUUAGGGAGGACGCACCCAGCGCACCCCCUCCAAAAAAAAAGAAAAAUAAGAAAGCGAGAAAAAAGAAUAGAAAAAGAUAAAAUUUUUCGUAGAAUAUAGAAUUUAUGUCAUAUGAGGGCGGAUAUCUUGGCGAAUCUACAAUAGGCGCUAUUGUGUUGCAUAUGGAUAGAGUGUGUACAGUAACUGUUAAAUACCGUAUAUGUUCGCGUAUAAGGCUUAAGCCGUCGUGAGAAAUAUUAAACAUGUUUAAUAUUCUACGACGCGACUGCCCCCGAUGCAAACAUCGCGUCUGCGUUUAACUCACAGAGACCCGACGCAACAACAAAUCGCGUCGGGCUGCGUCGAACGACGCUGUCUGAGUUGGCCUUUAUACGUCCGACAUACAAAAAUCGCCUAAAAAUCUUCUCAAAUUCGGGAGUCGUCGUAUACGCAUGUCGCCUUAUACACGAGUAUAUAUACGGUAUAAGACUUUGCGUUGAAAUCUGAAUACUGUAAAAAUUUCUUAGCUUUGAACGAUGUGAACAGUUUCAACAACGAAAACGCCAGCGCGUUGUCAAUGAAAGCGCAACGGGUUGGGUGCGUUUGAAGUUUGCAAUAAAUAUUGGCCGGUACUG